UGAGGCAGGAGAAUUGCUUGAACCCAGGAGGUGGAGGUUGCAGUGAGUCAAGAUCGUGCCACUGCACUCCAGCCUGGGUGACAGAGCGAGACUCCGUC
rnacentral:miRNA from 1 species